rnacentral:rRNA from 1 species
UACGUAGGGGGCAAGCGUUGUCCGGAAUCAUUGGGCGUAAAGAGCGCGUAGGCGGCCCUGUAAGUCCGCUGUGAAAGUCAAGGGCUCAACCCUUGGAUGCCGGUGGAUACUGCGGGGCUAGAGUCCGGAAGAGGCGAGUGGAAUUCCAAGUGUAGCGGUGAAAUGCGUAGAGAUUUGGAGGAACACCAGUGGCGAAGGCGACUUUCUGGUCUGUAACUGACACUGAGGCGCGAAAGCGUGGGGAGCAAACAGG